AUUGAACGCUGGCGGCAUGCCUUACACAUGCAAGUCGAACGGUAACGGGCCUUCGGGUGCCGACGAGUGGCGAACGGGUGAGUAAUACAUCGGAACGUGCCCGAUCGUGGGGGAUAACGAGGCGAAAGCUUUGCUAGUACCGCAUACGAUCUACGGAUGAAAGCAGGGGACCGCAAGGCCUUGCGCGGACGGAGCGGCCGAUGGCAGAUUAGGUAGUUGGUGGGGUAAAAGCUUACCAAGCCGACGAUCUGUAGCUGGUCUGAGAGGAUGAUCAGCCACACUGGGACUGAGACACGGCCCAGACUCCUACGGGAGGCAGCAGUGGGGAAUUUUGGACAAUGGGCGCAAGCCUGAUCCAGCCAUGCCGCGUGCAGGAUGAAGGCCUUCGGGUUGUAAACUGCUUUUGUACGGAACGAAAAGCCUUCUUUUAAUACAGGAGGGUCAUGACGGUACCGUAAGAAUAAGCACCGGCUAACUACGUG
rnacentral:rRNA from 1 species